AAGGUAGCAUAAUCACUUGUNUNUUAAAUAGGGNNUAGUAUGAANGGCAUCANGAGGGUUUAANNGUNUNUUNUCCCCCAAUCAGUGAAAUNGACCUUCCCGUGCAGAGGCGGGAAUAAUAAUNCAAGACGAGAAGACCCUGUGGAGNUUAAGACACAUAGCUCAACACAUANUUAAUUUAACNUACCNGGACAAAAUGUAUAAAGUUNUGAGCNAUAGUCUUNGGUUGGGGUGACCUCGGAGUACAAAACAACCUCCGAAUGAAAUCUAACCCAGAWUAACGAAUCUAAGUGUAUCAUUACCAGUAAUUGACCCAAUUAAUUGAUCAACGGAACAAGUUACCCCAGGGAUAACAGCGCAAUCCUAUUUGAGAGCCCAUAUCGAAAAUUAGGGUUUACGACCUCGAUGUUGGAUCAGGACAUCCAAAUGGUGCAGCAGNUAUUAANGGUUCGUUUGUUCAACGAUUAAAGUCCUACGUGAUCUGAGUUCAGACCGGAGAAAUCCAGGUCGGUUU
rnacentral:rRNA from 1 species